GUAAGUUUUACAAUGUUCUGGCCAUAGAAAAGGUGAAUAUUUUUUAACCCAUCUGACGGCACUUGGCCAAGUUGCUUAUCGCAACCAGAUUUAAAAGAGAUCAGCAAUAAGACUGCCGAUCAUUGGGGGUCCCACCCAAGGAGUACCAUUUCAGAGCCUGACAACAGAUAUACAGUAAUUUAUCAGAUGAUCUUUCAGAACUAAUUGUUAUCAGCAUAACUUCACACUUCAUAUUAUAUCGAUAGAGAUCCCCAAGAUCAAAAAAAAAACUUGGGGGAAUGAUCGAGACAACCCGAGUAUGUCAACAGGACCCAUUUUUUGUGCGGGACAAUUGGUAAACAAUAAGCUGCUGCCUGUUCAAUAGAAAAGAAGCCAUACUUGAUUAUUAGUGACUAAACUAGUGAAAUUAAGGGCUUCCACAGGCAUAAAACAAGUGUACCUCGAUCAGAGUAAGCCCAAAUGGCUCAAAUGAAAGCUGGAUUAAUGAAAAAACGCCCUAGAAAAAUUGUGGGAAACAGAAUAAGAUAUCUAAUAAUAUGAUAAGUCACAGAGAGAGCGGGGGGGGGGGGGGGGGGGGGGGGGGGGGGGUUUGUUGGUUGAGAGAGAGAGAGAGCAUGAAUACGCAGAAAACGAACUAAAACAACCUUAGCCAUGUAUGAAUUAUGACAAACUAUUGUAUUAAAAUAACAACCAUUACCUGGGGUAUCAUGUAUAAAAACAGCUACAUAAAUGGCUUUAUCAUGCUACAAGCCAAAAGACAAAUUUUAGUUUCUCUUAUUCUGUGUACAAGCCUAUAAACCAUCAUACGGAUAACCAUGACAAACAAAAUUCCCGUAAUAGAUUUUGUUUUAAAAAAGUGACCAAACUAAAGGGAAAUAAUUAAUCAAUAAUUCAUGCAGUUAGAAAUCUUCAUGAUAAGAUAAGGAAUACCAUGAAAAAAUCCAGUUUCAAUUUACUCCCACAAAAAAACACCUUUUAUAUUCUUCAGAGGACUCAUUGCACUGUUAAGAGCCUUAUUAACUGAGUCUAAACUACAAAGGAUUAGAAAAACACUUGGAGAGAAUAGAAAUGAAAUGAUCACUGUACAAUAAAACAAAGUGUUCAGCGACAUCUAAGCCGGUGCAAAGUUUGAAGGAUAUAGGUCGGUUCCUUGUUCCAUCAUUUAUGGCAAUGUACAAAGGUAUUUUAUUAGUACGUAUGGAUGAAAAUUGUAGGGGCAGGACCCUUUAAUUUACAGGUUAUAUCAUUCAAGAAACAUCAUCAAGAUUCAACAGUAUGACAAGAUCAGCUAAUUCAGAGCCUUCACUGGACAGGACAAGAAAUCAUGUGGAAGCUAAUUUUGUAGACGACUGCAUGAUGAAGAACGAUUAGGACAAACUAUCUAGUACAAGGGAUUUAAAAAUCGGUUGUAGUUACCGUAAACAGUAAUGGUGGUUUGAUGUGGUUUCAGAGUGUCAUGAUUGUUUUUUAAGCGGGCAACCGGGUCGGUGCUUUUUUCUGUUUUUUCAAAUCAUGAUGAAAACUUAUGCUAGGCACGAUUUUUUUUGUCAGAAUGUUAUGUUUGGGAUUAUAAUAGUUUUUCACGGUUUAUUGGAAUGUUAUUCGCAUUCCAUAUUGUUAGUCCAUAAGAAGAGAUUUAGAUCACUUCUAUAAAUACGCGAAAACAGUUUUCAAGUUCCAUAAUUUAUAAUGCACUGGUCUAUUGACCUUUAUUUAUUAUUAAUAAUAUUACCAAUUGCGAUUCAUGUGGUGUUGUUUCAAACUGCUACAUGUGUUAAUUGGUAAAUAAAAAAAAUAGGUGACUGUAACUAGUGAAAAUAAAAUUUAAAAAUCAAAACAUACCAUUAUUACACGCGUUUGUCAAACUAACAAUACAAUCUUGGAAGUUUCAACUACACAAACACACAUAAAAAAAUAUAGAUAGAUAGAUAGAUAGAGAUAGAGAUAGAGAUAGCUUUAAAGUUAAAGUUGAUUAAACACAUAUUAAUAUAGAAGCUAAAAGUGAAAAAUGGAGUGUUACUUGACAGUUGCAUAAACAGUCAUUACCGGUCAUAAAUGUGGUGUGGGUGUUUGAUUUGUAACGGGUUACGUAACGGUUUUUUUUUCGGUUGUAGCUGUUAUGCAUAUGAAUUUCAGUCUCACUUGCAUAGCAGCCGCAAUAGCAGCGAGAGGACCCCUACCGUUACGUAAACAAAAGCUGCCCAUUUUUAAAACCAUGUUCAAUAGUAAGAGAAAGAUGAAACUACAGAAAGGGAUUCAAACAUUUUGUCUAUUGGUAUAAAUACUAACGGAUCCAAGCGGCUUAAUAUGUUAUCGGGCUUCAUUUGUCCCAGCAAAGGAUAUUUUACUUUCCCGUCAAAUGUUAAAUUCAUCUCCCCCAGCAUUGAGUUGAUUUAGAGGACAGUGUGCAACGGAAGCCAAUAAAUAAACAGAGACGAAAAAGAAACUUCUAAACAGAUAUUUACCCAGAUUCAAACUAUUUUGUUCGGCAAAUAAAAAACAAGCUACUUUUUCCUCAAUGAAAAAUAUUUCAUGUUUCAAAAACAACCAUAAAACCAUAGUUCGCAAUCAUCUAGUCUUGCCAGUACUUGAUGAAAACACAUUUCGUAAUGCUUUCAUAUCCAGAAAAAAAAAAUAGGAAAAGUCAUUUUUUUCUAGUAUCAUGCAGUCAAAUUACAAGUUAAAAACUUAAAUGCCGAACCAUCCGAAAGCUGAAUUUACGUUACCUCUCUGACUCCAGCUCCGCUUAAACUGUUGGUUUGCUUAUUAUUUCUCUUUUUGCAUAAGUUGCAAACAAAACAAAAUAACCAUUUUAUCUCUAAUAGAAGGCUGCACAUUACAAAAAGUCUCAUCUUUAGUCAGCCAAAAACUUCUACAAAAUCGUCUUAAAAAAAAAAAAUAAAAUAAAUUCUUCAUAUUAUGCAGGAAAUACAAAAUAUAAAAAAUUUAACUGCAAGAAAAAAGUCCAAAUGGACACAACUUGCAACUGGAAGAGACGUGCACGUGGCAUGAACAUCCAACAUUCAUACUUUCUAACAAAACAAAAGGGAAGAAGGGGUUUUUUCCGGUCAAAGAGGGAAAGCGUAUUGAAGAAAAAAAUUGAUUCCUGAGCCACCAAAGUUGGUGCGGAAUAAGUUUCAUCAUGUAGAAAAAAUAUAGAUUACUGCCAAGGAAAAAAGGAUUCCAGAAGGCCCAAAGUAAAAAGCAGGAUCCUGGAGAGCAGACCAAUCAUAUAGAAGAAAAAUAAAGGAAAGCAAUAAUUAGGUUCCAGAGAGCUGGCUAUUUAGGUAUCAUGGAAGUAAGUUAAUGGUCUUGAUUUAACCACACGAGAAACUAGAAGAGUUCAUAAAUAGACUUAAAUAGCAUCCGUCCUGUUUUUAUUUCAGCUUUCAACUAGUGAUCCAUAUCAACCAGCCAAGUCAUAUAGCCGAUAAAGAGUACUUUGUCUUAGCUGCCAGACGGUAGAUUUAGAGAUAUGAGGAACGUCAGACUGCUUGUGGGUUUGGGGUUAUGCCACUGGGACCAUAGAGAUUUUAUAUUAUCAAAAAGCCUAAGUAUUGAGGAGAAGAAACGAAGAAGUAUUUUAGUUUAAUUAGUCGCUUGCUGUCUUUGCUUGACAGUUCAUCAACAUCAUCUCGGUUACCCAUUAUUAAAUCUGUAAAAUACAGGACAAAGGCCAUUAAUGUCAAAGCUGAUUCAGCAACUUAGUACAGUCAAACAAUUAAAUUUCAACCAAAAAUUAAAAAAUGUUACAGAACAAGAGGUGAUUCAAAUGCACCAGAUUAGCCAGCUCUCUUAAUGGACGAAAUUCCCCAAAUGCUUCAACCCAAAGUUGUUGUGAGAUUCUUUUUGGGAUCUUGGCCUAGCUCGGGCAGUUCAUCGGCUUGCGUGGAUUAGUAAAGAAACGCAUUAUAUGCAUACCAUAACGUAACCUUAGUUAUGGAAAGAAAUUCUUAACAAAUUCAGGAUUUGAUGGGAAAAAGUUAAUCCCGAAGGGACUAGCAACUGCAGGCACUUAUCAUAUAGGGAACGCAUCAAGAAAAUGAAGAGAAAGAUUGGAACCCCAGGCCAAAUGGGUGGGUCCGGAGAAGUAGGCUGAUCUUCAUUUCCUUCAGUUUCACCGUCCAUUUAUCACCUUCAUCCCCCUUGUGGAACAAUGUGAGAAAUUCCAUCCCAGGGGGAAUUACCUGCAAACAUCUGUAAUAUUACGACCGUGUACUUCCAAUAGGCAAGCCAGUUACAUUUGGUUAACAUUUAGAGAACACAAUUUUAAAAUGGGGUUGUAAAACAAGAACCCAAUCAGCCAGAUUCUUCUCAAGUUCAAGCUCGGUCAAAUUUAGACCUAUGUAAAACCCUAUCAUUUGACAUAAUUAACAAGUCAGGCACUCUAAUCUCUAUUCAUGAAGUGCUUUGCUGUCACUAUGAAGGAUUUACAGCAGAAUGUAGGAGUACUGAUAAAAUUUUGAGAUUAGUACAUUCCACAGAACAUUAUUUGAAAUGUUGACGCAACAAUUACUAUUACAAGUAGUAAGGCUAUUCUACAAUGGGAUCAGUCAUUGAACGCUAUGGAUGAAAUUCGUUUUCCAAAUUCUAUUCUAUGUACAAACAGUGUAUUUAGAGGUAAUUUGCCGCAUGUUGUGUUAAGUUCUCCAUGUUUAAUGCAUGAUGUUGUGUGAGUUUGUCUCUUCAAAAGUACAGGGCGUCUUGACAAGUUAAGCAAGAGUGAAGUACAGUAACUCUAUUUCAAUAUUAUAAUCUGACAAACAAGAAAAUUAUCGCUGUCUUGCCCCAAACAAAGUUAAGCAAGAAUGAAGUACAGUAACUCAAUUUCAAGUAUUAUAAUCUGACAAACAAGAAAAUUAUCGCUGUCUUGCCCAAAACAGAAUUCAAGACUAGCUGUUUCCCUCAUUCCCUGCCUCGAUAGUAAUAAGCAAGAAUGAGAGCAAUCCAUUUUGAUUCCAGUGAAUAGUUACUAAUAAUGUUAACUAUAUACCAGAAAG
rnacentral:lncRNA from 1 species